rnacentral:lncRNA from 1 species
GGGCUCUUAAUCUGAUUCACUGUAUCAUACAUAUUAACUCUUCGCUUGCAGAUCUCCAUAUUCUGAAAGCAGGAUUUCACGUGAUUACUGUGUGGGAAAUCCAGCAGAUGGGUCAUUGUAACAAACGGAUGGUUCAAAGUCUUCAGCGGAGUAAUUCUCUUAUCUGCAUCAAUAGUCAACAUUUUCUUCAACAAAUCAAUAUACUCCCUUCGGUCAGCCUUCUCUGCCAACAUGUCGGUCCCUUCUAAGUCUGUAGACAUAUUCACCUGCGCCAUAUCAUCCAAACAGUUGAAUAUAUAUUUCCUUGCUUCUUUUGAUUUUAUCCCUGUCUCCAACUCAUGCUCUUCUGGGGUCUUUAGCCUCCACAGUGGGUAUCCCAAAUUUGGAUCUCUGUUAAAAAACCUGCUUGUUUUCG